rnacentral:rRNA from 1 species
GACGAACGCUGGCGGCGUGCUUAACACAUGCAAGUCGAACGGAAAGGCCCUGCUUGCAGGGUACUCGAGUGGCGAACGGGUGAGUAGCACGUGGGUGAUCUGCCCUGCACUUCGGGAUAAGCCUGGGAAACUGGGUCUAAUACCGGAUAGGAGCCAUUUUUAGUGUGAUGGUUGGAAAGUUUUUUCGGUGUAGGAUGAGCUCGCGGCCUAUCAGCUUGUUGGUGGGGUAAUGGCCUACCAAGGCGGCGAGGGGUAGCCGGCCUGAGAGGGUGGACGGCCACAUUGGGACUUAGGUACGGCCCAGACGCCUACGGGAGGCAGAAGUGGGGAAUAUUGAACCAUGGGCGCCAGCCUGAUGCAGAGACGCCGCGUGGGGGAUGACCGCCUUCGGGUUGUAAACUCCUUUCGCUAGGGACGAAGCUUUUUGUGACGGUACCUAGAUAAGAAGCACCGGCUAACUACGUG